ensembl:snoRNA SNORA62 Small nucleolar RNA SNORA62/SNORA6 family
UUUGCACACUAUUAAAGCCGGGCGCUAAUGUUGGUGUCCCUGUGUCGGAAGUGUGCUAGAGUAAGCAGGCCGGGUUUUCGCUAACACCAUGAGGACUUAUGUCCCAUGACUGGGGUUUGAUAGUGACCAGAGCCACAAUC